rnacentral:rRNA from 1 species
GACGAACGCUGGCGGCGUGCUUAACACAUGCAAGUCGAACGGAAAGACCCUGCUUUUGUGGGGUGCUCGAGUGGCGAACGGGUGAGUAACACGUGAGUAACCUGCCCUUGACUUUGGGAUAACUUCAGGAAACUGGGGCUAAUACCGGAUAGGAGCUCCUGCUGCAUGGUGGGGGUUGGAAAGUUUCGGCGGUUGGGGAUGGACUCGCGGCUUAUCAGCUUGUUGGUGGGGUAGUGGCUUACCAAGGCUUUGACGGGUAGCCGGCCUGAGAGGGUGACCGGCCACAUUGGGACUGCGAUACGGCCCAGAGUCCUACGGGAGGCAGCAGUGGGGAAUAUUGCACAAUGGGCGGAAGCCUGAUGCAGCAACGCCGCGUGCGGGAUGACGGCCUUCGGGUUGUAAACCGCUUUCGCCUGUGACGAAGCGUGAGUGACGGUAAUGGGUAAAGAAGCACCGGCUAACUACGUG